rnacentral:misc_RNA from 1 species
AUUUAUUCUGUGACAAAAGGGAAAUAUAAUCCAAACAAAGACAGAUUCUAAGCUGGGAUAACAUCAUACAUAAGAUUUUUUUUUCUGUCCGAUGAAUGCAAAUUCCACAAACUAACACACAAUCCCGCGAAUAAUCGUAGUAUGGCAGAACAACACUUAAGUUGACACCUAGAGAAGGGUGGUCUCAGCGAUCAUUGAAGUGACCACGUAGGGAUCCAUGUUCGAAGCCGGCCUACGGUCCUCAAAAUAACCUUUGCCUUCCUUCUCAGUGUCACGGCCUACUCGGAUAGAUGCCCCUCGGUUGGCAACUCCCCAUUUGAAUGUGUUGAUAUCAGCAGUCUCGUGUCGUCCAGUUAGGCGACGCUCAUUCCCUUCGCCAUAGGCAGCAAUGUGCUCCUUGUGCUUCAGACCAAGCUUUUCGAUGGCCUUCUUUAUCACUUCAAAUCCUC